AUAUUUACCUGGCAAGGGCAAUAACACGAUCACAGAGGUAGUUUUCCGGGGCCAAGGCUUACCCAUUGAACUCCGGGGGUGCUGACUCCUGCAAUUUCCCCAAACAUGGGAAACUCUACUACAUAAUUUGUGCUAGUGGGGGACUGUGUUUCUACUCUCCCCUG